UACAGAGGUCCCCAAGCGUUGUUCGGAUUCACUGGGCGUAAAGGGUGCGUAGGUGGCCGGGAAAGUUCGAUGUGAAAGCUCGGAGCUCAACUCCGAAAUGGCAUUGAAUACUAUUCGGCUUGAGGGUCGGAGGGGAGACUGGAAUUCUCGGUGUAGCAGUGAAAUGCGUAGAUAUCAGGAAGAACACCCGUGGCGAAAGCGGCUCUCUGGAACGGUACUGACGCUGAGACGCGAAAGCGUGGGAGCGAACAGG
rnacentral:rRNA from 1 species